rnacentral:misc_RNA from 1 species
ACGAGUUAGGGUCCUCUAGGCCCGACCUCCAACCCUUUGCUUACCGAACCUCUGUUGCUUCGGCGGGCCCGUCUCACGACCGCCGGAGGACCGCCGCAGGGCGUGUCCUCUAGCCCGUGCCCGCCGAUAGCCAACUACAAAACUCUGUAUAAAUCAUGUCUCAUGUCUAAGUCAAAUUGAAUUAAAAGCA